CCUACGGGUGGCAGCAGUGAGGAAUAUUGGUCAAUGGCCGGAAGGCUGAACCAGCCAAGUCGCGUGAGGGAAUAAGGCCCUAUGGGUCGUAAACCUCUUUUGUCAGGGAGCAAAGGCGUCCACGUGUGGACGAGAGGAGAGUACCUGAAGAAAAAGCAUCGGCUAACUCCGUGCCAGCAGCCGCGGUAAUACGGAGGAUGCGAGCGUUAUCCGGAUUUAUUGGGUUUAAAGGGUGCGUAGGCGGAAUGCCAAGUCAGCGGUAAAAUCGCGGGGCUCAACCUCGCUCCGCCGUUGAAACUGGCGUUCUUUAGUGGGCGAGAAGUAUGCGGAAUGCGUGGUGUAGCGGUGAAAUGCAUAGAUAUCACGCAGAACUCCGAUUGCGAAGGCAGCAUACCGGCGCCCAACUGACGCUGAAGCACGAAAGCGUGGGUAUCGAACAGGAUUAGAAACCCUGGUAGUC
rnacentral:rRNA from 1 species